rnacentral:rRNA from 1 species
CCUGGCGGCUUUAGCGCGGUGGUCCCACCUGACCCCAUGCCGAACUCAGAAGUGAAACGCCGUAGCGCCCGUCCGAGGACGUUAAGAAUCCAUGUCACUUUGAGUGCCCACAC